GAUGAACGCUGGCGGCGUGCCUAAUACAUGCAAGUCGAGCGAACGGACGAGAAGCUUGCUUCUCUGAGGUUAGCGGCGGACGGGUGAGUAACACGUGGAUAACCUACCUAUAAGACUGGGAUAACUUCGGGAAACCGUAGCUAAUACCGGAUAAUAUGUUGAACGGCAUGGAUCAAAAGUGAAAGACGGUCUUGCUGUCACUUAUAGAUGGAUCCGCGCUGCAUUAGCUAGUUGGUAAGGUAACGGCUUACCAAGGCAACGAUGCAUAGCCGACCUGAGAGGGUGAUCGGCCACACUGGAACUGAGACACGGUCCAGACUCCUACGGGAGGCAGCAGUAGGGAAUCUUCCGCAAUGGGCGAAAGCCUGACCGAGCAACGCCGCGUGAGUGAUGAAGGUCUUCGGAUCGUAAAACUCUGUUAUUAGGGAAGAACAUAUGUGUAAGUAACUGUGCACAUCCUGACGGUACCUAAACAGAAAGCCCCGGCUAACUACGUG
rnacentral:rRNA from 1 species